rnacentral:lncRNA from 1 species
AAACAGGCGGGGUGGGGGGGUGAGCCCUUAUCCCCUGGGAAUCAGCCAGCUUCCGCCCUGGCUGUGGGAGCGUGGAGGGUGUUCCCUUGAGAGCCCGCCUGUGGGAAGGAAGCGAGACCCUUCUCCUGGGGACCAGCCAACCCUGCCCCGGGUCAGGAGUCCUGAGGGGAACGGGCUAGGCAGGGCUGGGUAGCGUUAGGCCUCGGUCGCAGGGUAAUGCGCCCCCGCUCUCUAGGCGGCGGCACUGAGGGGACGCUGGGGACAAGCGGCAGCCAGCCCCUGGGUGCGUCAGGAGUCAGCCCGCGCCGCGGGGGAGCCAGUCCUGCUCCUCCCCGGGGCGGGCGAGAAGGGCCCCGAGCAGGAAGAGGAGGCUCGCAGGGGACAGACGCCCCGCCUGGCGCGAGUGGGAAUUGGCCGCUCCAGUGUGUGGGGAGGGGCCGGGGAGCCGAGCCGGAACACCCCGCCCCCAGUGCGCGGGGAGAGGGAGCCGCCCCGCGCUGUGUGAGGACUCGGAAAGCGAGCCCAGCGAGCCCCCCCGUGGUGACAGUUUCUAGAAGCCCGUCCCGGCGUCCUUUGCGGUCUCAACAUGGAGGAGCUGACCGUGGAAGUGCGCGGCUCCAACGGGGCCUUCUACAAGGGAUUUAUCAAAGAUGUCCAUGAGGAUUCACUCACAGUUGUAUUUGAAAACAAUUGGCAACCAGAGCGCCAAGUUCCUUUUAAUGAAGUCAGAUUACCACCUCCACCUGAUAUCAAGAAAGAAAUAGGAGAAGGAGAUGAAGUGGAGGUGAGUUGACUCUCAUGUUUCCUUCCUAGCUUGCCCUCCUGUGGAAGUGACUGUUCAGACCGGAUAAUGUU